GCUGCGACGACAGCGACUGAAGCGCAGCUGGAGUGGUAAGAUGGCGGACGAGCAGCUGCAGCAGCUCCGUGCGGUGCUACAGGGGGAGGGGAAGGUGGUUUCUCCUGACACAAGCUGGAGGCCGGAGCCUGUGGCACCCUGGCUUGCCUCACUGAAGCUGGUGGCUGUGACAGGGACUGCACGGCUGCUGGAGUGGUAGAAAGGCAGCCCAGGAAGCCAUCAUUCUGUAGAAGGCAGUGACGGAACAGUACCAGCAGAAAUUGAAGGACCAGCAGAAGGGAUCAUGGCCAAAGUUGCAGUGUCCCCCCGCUCGUUGAAGAUGAGGAGUUCUCAGAGAGCGGGAUGUUUGUGACAUUCCUCAUGUCAGCUCUCGAGUCCAUGACUCUCACUCGGUCGUCCAGGCUGGAGUGCAGUGGCACCAUCUUGGCUCAUUGCAACAUCUGGCUCCCAGGUUCAAUCGAUUCUUCUGCCUCAGCCUUCUGAGUAGCUGGAAUUAACAGGUGUAUGCCAACUUAUCUGGCUAAUUUUGUUGUGUAUUUUUCUUUCAGUACAGACUGGGUUUCACCAUGUUGGCCAUGCUGGUCUUGAGCUCCUCACCUCAGGUGAUCCACAUGCCUCAGCCUCCUAAAGUGCUGGGAUUAUAGGCGUCAGCCACCGCUUCUGGCCUAGAUCAUUAACAUAUCACUAUGAUACUAAAAUUCCCUCUGCCAAAGAAAAUCUUGCCAUUUUGUGACAUGAGUUGUAUAAAGAUGUAUGUUUAUAUGCACUGAACCUGUGCACCUAGAGUUCCACCCUGCUCAUGCUAACGUUGUUCUCCCUCCCCGUACCUAGUUCUUAAAAACUCCAUGCCUUCCAUUUUUCAGGGAAAGGGUGUCUUUAGAGCAAGAACUCUUUUCUUCUCCAUCCCAGGCAGGGAAAAAACCCAC
rnacentral:lncRNA from 1 species